AAAUUUGAUUGUUUUAGUUGAUGCAGCAGAAAGUGUAAAAACAUUGUUUUAAUGUACUAUCUGUCUGAAAGUCCUGUGGGUUGGAGGUUUGUCUCAUGUCUUCAUUGCUGUUGUAUGUAUGUAUGUUCUGUAUUUUAUAAAUUAAUAUUUGAUAAAAAAAUAAAAAUAGUAUAGGGUGUAGAAAAAAGUCAUAGUAUAGCCACAGCUAUGCAUGACAGAUGUUCUGGUGCUGUUGGAGAACCUCAUUGACAGGCCUAGUGAGUGGUGGCGAGGCAUUGUCACCUGUGUCAUUUAUGAAUGUUAUUGGCAGAUUAGAUAUGACCUAGCAAGUUCAUUGAAAAAAAAAAUCAGACAGGUCCUACUCACUUCUGGAUUUAUCAAAAAGCGUUUAUUAAUAGUCAUAGUAAUGUCACACAAAUUCACAAGUGUUUAAGACAUGUCUGGCUCAGUUUGGUUGUGUGUGUCUGCAAGUAUGUCUGUGAUUUCUCUAAACAGUGCAGUUAUAAAUAAAUGACCACAAAGUGAAGGAAAAGGGUAUGGUAAUAUUGCAACAGGAAAAAUAGAAUUCUCAUUUUAAGAAGAAAAGAGAAAAAAAGUUGUUCAAAGAGAACAUUUAGCACCAUCUAUCCUGUUAUCAUAUUCAACAGAUAAUAUAUCAUAAAAUCAAUAAAAUCUCAUCUAAAAGCCCCCUACAUAAUAAAAAAAUUUAACAUUUCUCAGAAAGUUUUUUCUUCUCCUUAAUGAGCAUUCCAUUAGUCAUCUUCUCUACGUGAGCAGUGUGCCUAUUGUCUACAGGAAAGGUGGUGUUAUAUUCAAGAUAAAGAUAUCAUUUAAUAUAUAUCAGGAGAAAAAGGCAAGAGUCAUGAGAGGCAAGCACCAGAGAAACAGCAGCCUCCACUCCCGUGAACACACAACCCCCCACAGUUCUGUUCUUACAGAGCAAUCUGUCUCUAUAAAAAAAUACAGAGGAAAAAAAGUCGCAAACUUGUACAACCCUAUUAAAAAAAGGGAGAACAUUGAUAUCCAAUAAAUAGAGGAAACAUUUUAAAUUAAAUGUACAAUGCCAAAAUAAAUCCAGAAAAUACCAAGUCUGCAUAUUGAAACAAAACAAUCAGAGGUACAACACACAAACACCAAAUGGCAAUGAUUUUCUUUUUAGAGCCCAUACAGAGAUGGAAGAAAUGAACAAAAGGACCUGAUGAGUGACAACUGGAUACUAAUCUCCAGAGGAAAUAAAAGUAUAAUUAAUACAAACACAAGAUUUACAACACAUACAUACUAAAAGACAAAAUGAAACCCCUCCCAAAACAACCAAAGUCAUUAAAACCUGUAUGUUUUGUAUUUUUUUUUAUUCUUAAUGCUUUAGAAAAAUGUUCAUAUCUCUAUUAUUAGUAUUUUUCAUUUUCUCUUAUUUCUAAAUACAAGGCCAAUGUGGUAUAUAUCUAGGCUGAUCUAGUUUAGAAAAAAACAAUAAAUUAUUUUUUAAAAAGACAGCACCCCACAAAAAUUGCAAACAGCAUGUACAAAUUUCAGUAUUCAAGACAAGACGCACCAACUGCCCCCUGGUUCUCAACUUCAAUGUUGCCAGGGUGUCUGGUUGAAAGCACCAUCUGAGAGUAAACUGGUAAUUUUAUUGGCGGCUUGGUAUUUCUUUUUGUAAACAGUAAUGAUGAGUAAACUUAUUCAACUGGCUGUUCGGCAAGUAUUUGCAGUAGUAGUAGUAGCAAAAAUGAUCUUCAGUGAUCUUAAAUAAUGAAAGGGUAAGUUGAAAACCAAAGUGUAACUGUGUCUUUUGUCCUGGCUUGCAGGAGUUUUGGUUAUGGCUGAGGAGAUGCAGGGGGGGGGAGCUCUGUCACCGGGAGGAGGACGAGGCCUGAAGCGGAUUACUCUAAUUCUAUACACUUCUUCUGUGAUUCCACCACGUUAUUCCCUGGAGCUGACAUCAGUGAACACAAGAAAAUCCAGGAUUGACUAUUAAGCGCAAGAGUUAGUUAGCUAAGGUUAGUUUUCGUUGUACAGUGGGGAACUUGAAAUGGUUUAUUCUUUGGUUGGGGGUUUGCUGGGAUCCUAAAGAGAACGGUUUUGGUGUUGAGAGAAUUAAAUAAAUUAAGCUUUAGGCAUAUUUUAGUUACUUUUGUUUAUUUAGUUAUUUUUGUAAAGAAAAAAACAUUGUGCAGCUUUGUUAUCUGAGCAAAUGAGAGGAUCGGGACAUCCCUACUUUCAGUUUUGUUUUGGUGCUGUUGAAUUAUAGUGUUAUACAGAGUUGUUUCUAUUAUCCCUUUCACACCAAGGGCUAAACUGGAGUAUGUGACGUUAGCUGUUGAUUGAAAUUGUAUGUUGUAUAAACCCCGCCCAUUGCCAGCACAUGAGGUAAUUGGUAUGCAUGGCCCCGUGUUGACUGGCUUCUUUUGACAAAAUAAGGGGUUGAACACGGGCCAGAUAGCCCUGGUUAAUGAACACCUUCAUUGAUGUUGAGGAGGAGAAAAUACACCUAUCAGUAUAAAGCAAUACAUUUUAAACGGCACUACAGCCUCCAUGACAACUAAGCUGACUUUACAAUUACUCAAUUUGAAAUUUUAGCAAUGUGUACCCAGUUAACUGGCGUUUGAUAGAGAGAGUUGUAUGGUAAGAGUGAUUGUUGGCUACUCACAUCACACUCGUUGCAGUAGUAGGCAGGCUCGUCCUUGACCCGACUCUGAUAGGAAAGCUUCUUGCCGUCAGCCACCAGUUGGUCCCGCAGGACCUGGAUGUGCUUCAUGGACUGCAGCAAGCAGUGUCUGGCAAAAGAGGACACAUGGAUCAUGGGGACAAUGGAUUUGACCUUCUUCACUUCAUUCCACUCAAACCUCUCCAGGGCCAGUUGGUACUGAUGGUGCACUCCUUACCAUUGAGAGGUCCAACAUUCCAGGCGAUGUUGUUGCACCAGCCUACGGCCUGAACCCAGUGUACAGUUCCAGCGUUGAUCCACACCAAGUCUCCAGGCCGCUGGAUGAAGCGGUACACUGGGAUGUUGGCUUUGUAGAGGUCCUCCAACACCGGCCACCAGGACCCGAAGUCGCUAAUGGCCUGCCAGUAGUUCUCAUGGACAGAGAACCACUCACAGUCUCCAGGGCCGAUGUUGAUGUUCACCGAGCAAAAAUGUAACGUGAAAGAGUCCUUUACCUGGCGUUCGGCUUCCUGGAACCUUCAUGUAGAGCUGGACGGUGUUCAUGCCUAGGAUGGUGUGUCCGACGUGGCUCAGCAUGUUUCCACUCGAUGCUACACGCAUAAAGGCUGGUAGCUUCUGCAACUCCUGAAGCUGAGGCUUCCACCUGACCAGAGAUAGCAGAGCUGUCCUUGCUUGGAGUAUCAGAACUGUAAGAAGGCUUCUUCUCAUCUUCAUCAUCCUCGUCAUCGCUGCCUUUUUCCUCCUGAAGACAUAGAUCACAACACGUUUUAUCAACUGCAGCACAGGAGAGCCAGACUAUCUAAAUCAUUAAACUGAAUUACAAGUAAAUCCAACCAAGCAAUCUGAUUAAUCAACAUGACGGCACACCAUAGUGAUCACUAAAAAUAUUACUCCAUUUCAAUGUCAACAUUCCAGAGUUGAAUCAAAACCUUUUUUGAAAUAUUUGUAAAUAAAUCACGAAACACAGUGGAACACACAGAAGCUCUCCAACAUAUGGACAUAAAGGGAGUCAUCGGAUUAAACAACUUUGUUUUUUUUACAACGCUCUCAAGUUAACUGUUACUAGAAAUGUUUGGGUGUCUGCUACAUGUGAAGUUUGCAGACUUAUAGAAGCUAAAUCUGUCAAUUUUAUUUCAGCAGACAGCUUAGUUAGCUUAAGUUGGCUGGCUGACUAAAGAGGGAGGGACUAUCUCUGUUUCUUAUAUUUAUUAUGAGAGCAAAUUGCCUCACAAAAUUAAUACAGUUUAGGUAACUGUUGUAUGUAUAAUUGUCAUAUUAUGGGCACUUAAGUGAUUCUUAAUGACAUUAAAUCACACCCUCUCAUGUAAUAUUGCUUAAAUAUACAGUUUGCUUGAAUGCAGAAAUAGUGGUAGCAGAAGUGGUUAGAGUAGGAGUACUAGAACAUAUUUACCUGCAGACUCUCUUGGAAGCUGGAGGCCUGGUACUGGGCAUACUUGGCAAUGGUGGUGUGGGAGCGGCUGCUCUCGCAGGGCCAUGUCUGGCCUGUCCCACUGGGGUCCCAGUUCUCAUCAGCAGGCUGCUGCACCUGAGUCCUCACCUCUACCGCCUGCUCUGCAUUGGCCUCAACCAGUGACUUUGUAGAAAACAGCCCCAGGUCUAAAGACAGCGAGAGGGAACAUUAGGCACAUACAACCAAUUGAUGUAAAUAUGUCUGUAACUAAUGGGUCAAAAUGUCCAAUACCAAGACUAUUUUUAAAUUGUUCUCCAGAAGUAUCCGGAGAGCUUAUCAUGAAUUUUGCAUUUACAGUUACACAAGUGUAAGCUUACUGAGUCGUAGAGAUCCAGCCAGGCCUCUGAUGACAGUAACAGGAUUUUUGGGGUCUGUACAGAACUGCAGCAACACAGGGGAGAACGCAUCCCUCUUACUCUCCAACUACAGAGAAGAAACAUCACGUCAACACACAGUAAUGAAAACUGCUUCAGGUAAUUUGUCAUCAUGCACAAUGAAUUGCCACAAGAGGGCAGCACAUUAAGGCAGGGAUCUUCAAUAGGGGGUCCUCCAAGUCCAUCCAGGGGGGCCUCCAAAUUAUUGUUAAUUUUUGAAAGUUUUUUCAAAAAUUAAAAAGUCUUAGCGUGAUUCCAACAUAUUAUUAGCGAAUAUAAAUCCACUGAUGGUAAACUUACUGGCCUAUAGGUAAUGUAGUCACUAAGGUAGCCAUCCACAGAUACAGUUCAUCCCAAAGGAUUGACUGUUUCACAUUUAAGGGUUAACAUUAAAACGGGAUUUAUAAAAUCAUGGCAACAAUUAUUAGGCUAUUUGAAGAGCUUUGUAUUCUAUGCAAA